UACGUAGGCAGCGAGCGUUGUUCGGAGUUACUGGGCGUAAAGGGUGUGUAGGCGGUUGUUUUAAGUUUGGUGUGAAAUCUCCCGGCUCAACCGGGAGGGUGCGCCGAAUACUGAAUGACUUGGAGUGCGGGAGAGGAAAGUGGAAUUCCUGGUGUAGCGGUGAAAUGCGUAGAUAUCAGGAGGAACACCGGUGGCGAAGGCGGGUCUCUGGGCCUUACCUGACGCUCAGGCGCGAAAGCUAGGGGGAGCGAACAGG
rnacentral:rRNA from 1 species